AUGUGUGAUGUGCCCCUAUCUAUGUAUGUUUCUUUGUCUGUUUCAUGUGUGCAAGUGCUCCAUUGUCUGUGUGUGACUGUGUUUGAUUGCUUAGAUGGGGUGAUUCUGAUUGUGUUACUGCUUAUAUGGUCUGUCCAAUUGGUUUCAUAUUCAUGCUUUGCUUGUGUUCCAAUGUCGUCUUCCCAUAUAUGGGGAUGUGUUCAGAGAUGCAAACCAUUUAGGCCGUUUCGAGCAGGCAGGGAUCCAGAGACGUGCACUGUUCAGGCUUCUCUCCUACUGAUAGAUGAUGAUAGGCUGAGCAGAAAAGUUUGA
rnacentral:rRNA from 1 species